rnacentral:rRNA from 1 species
AGUGAACGCUGGCGGUAGGCCUAACACAUGCAAGUCGAACGGCAGCACAGUAAGAGCUUGCUCUUACGGGUGGCGAGUGGCGGACGGGUGAGGAAUACAUCGGAAUCUACUUUUUCGUGGGGGAUAACGUAGGUAAACUUACGCUAAUACCGCAUACGACCUACGGGUGAAAGCAUGGGAUCUUCGGACCUUGCGCGAUUGAAUGAGCCGAUGUCGGAUUAGCUAGUUGGCGGGGUAAAGGCCCACCAAGGCGACGAUCCGUAGCUGGUCUGAGAGGAUGGUCAGCCACACUGGAACUGAGACACGGUCCAGACUCCUACGGGAGGCAGCAGUGGGGAAUAUUGGACAAUGGGCGCAAGCCUGAUCCAGCCAUACCGCGUGGGUGAAGAAGGCCUUCGGGUUGUAAAGCCCUUUUGUUGGGAAAGAAAAGCAGCAGGUUAAUACCCCGCUGUUCUGACGGUACCCAAAGAAUAAGCACCGGCUAACUUCGUG